UGAAGCGGCAACAGCUCAAAUUUGAAAUCUGGCUCCUUCGGGGUCCGAGUUGUAAUUUGUAGAGGGUGCUUUGGCGUUGGCCAUGGUCUAAGUUCCUUGGAACAGGGCGUCACAGAGGGUGAGAAUCCCGUACGUGGCCGCUGGCCUUCGCCAUGUAAAGCCCCUUCGACGAGUCGAGUUGUUUGGGAAUGCAGCUCUAAAUGGGAGGUAAAUUUCUUCUAAAGCUAAAUAUUGGCCAGAGACCGAUAGCGCACAAGUAGAGUGAUCGAAAGAUGAAAAGCACUUUGGAAAGAGAGUCAAAAAGCACGUGAAAUUGUUGAAAGGGAAGCGCUUGCAGCCAGACUUGCCCGUAGUUGCUCAUCCAGGUUUCGGCCCGGUGCACUCUUCUGCGGGCAGGCCAGCAUCAGUUCAGGCGGUCGGAUAAAGGUUUCGGGAAUGUGGCUCUCUUCGGGGAGUGUUAUAGCCCGGGGCGUAAUGCGACCAGCCUGGACUGAGGUCCGCGCAUCUGCUAGGAUGCUGGCGUAAUGGCUGUAAGCGGCCCGUCUUGAAACACGGACCAAGGAGUCUAACAUCUAUGCGAGUGUUUGGGUGUCAAGCCCGAGCGCGUAAUGAAAGUGAACGGAGGUGGGAACCCGCAAGGGCGCACCAUCGACCGAUCCUGAUGUCUUCGGAUGGAUUUGAGUAAGAGCAUAGCUGUUGGGACCCGAAAGAUGGUGAACUAUGCCUGAAUAGGGUGAAGCCAGAGGAAACUCUGGUGGAGGCUCGCAGCGGUUCUGACGUGCAAAUCGAUCGUCAAAUUUGGGCAUAGGGGCGAAAGACUAAUCGA
rnacentral:rRNA from 1 species